UACGUAGGGUGCAAGCGUUGUCCGGAAUUAUUGGGCGUAAAGAGCUCGUAGGCGGUUUGUCGCGUCUGCUGUGAAAACCCGAGGCUCAACCUCGGGCCUACAGUGGGUACGGGCAGACUAGAGUGCGGUAGGGGAGAUUGGAAUUCCUGGUGUAGCGGUGGAAUGCGCAGAUAUCAGGAGGAACACCAAUGGCGAAGGCAGAUCUCUGGGCCGUAACUGACGCUGAGGAGCGAAAGCAUGGGGAGCGAACAGG
rnacentral:rRNA from 1 species